rnacentral:rRNA from 1 species
GAUGAACGCUAGCUACAGGCUUAACACAUGCAAGUCGAGGGACCGGCGCACGGGUGAGUAACACGUAUCCAACCUGCCCUUUACCCGGGGAUAGUCUUUCGAAAGAAAGAUUAAUACCCGAAAUAAAGGAUUGGGAUGCGUUCCAUUAGGUUGUUGGUGAGGUAACGGACCACCAAGCCGUCGAUGGAUAGGGUUCUGAGAGGAAGGUCCCCUGCAUUGGAACGGAGACACAGACCAAACUCCUACGGGAGGCAGAAGUGAGGACUAUUGGUCAAUGGGCGGUAACCUGAACCAGCCAAGUAGCGUGAAGUAUUAUGGCUUAUGGGUCGUAAACUUCUUUUAUAUAAGAAUAUGUAUUAUAUGAAUAAGGCUCGGCUAACUCCGUGCCAGCAGCCGCGGUAAUUC